GUAAAAGAAGUAGAAGAUAAGUGGAAAGCACAGUUAAUAUGUAGAUUGACUUUUGUAUUCUUUUUUUUUUUUUAAGGAUAAAGAGGAUCGUUAACUUUGAUCUUAAAAUUAGAAAGCUGUUAUAAGCAUAUUUGAAGCUUGCGGUUUUGACAGAUGCCGACUAGUAACACACUAAUUAAUUCAGUACGUUUACUCCAGUUGAUGGGCGUUCUCAUAGACACACCCGUUUGGGACAAGCUAAGCUAAGUAGAACGGCGGUCUCGCUAAAGUACAAGUUUAAUUGCAAGUUGCGAUGAGGUCCAAAAAGUCUCCUUUUUGCGAUCAAUAUUCACCCCGUCUUGCAUGAAAGCAUGUCUACAUAUCAAACAUGUAAAAUUUUACCAGAUUAACACUAAAGUCUUUUUCUUUAUGAUACAUAAUGAGUACCUACUUACGAAGAACUAAGUGAAGACCUACUUAUCUUAUAAUAAACCGCAACAUGAGUCUUGCAAAAUUCAAAAAGAGCAACAAUGGAGUGCGCUAUAGGUGAACGAAUGAGCAUUUAUGAUUACAUCCGGAAACUUUUCAACCAAUUCGUUAUCCACUUGCUUUCGUAAACAAAAUAAGUUAACAGGAAGUAGCGUGCUUCCAAACCCUAAAACAAGUGUUUCCCUAGUGAACCAACUUUACGCCUGAUCUUAGUGUUGCCCUAAUACCAUAUGGAAUACUAAACACCGAACCUUUAGUUAUGCUAUUACUGAAAGCUUCGCUUGUUACAAUAAAUAUUUUGCCGAUCUAAUGAGAGAAAAAUUCGUAAAAGUAAGUGUAUUGGUUGUUCAAAUAAAGUCCGAGUUGUGAGAACCAUGUUACAUAAACGCAAAAAUGAGUGAUAGUACAUCAAUUAUUAAGAUGGGAGUAUUUGAACCUAAAGAGAGACGAAAAAAGAAUUUAAGUCCAGUAAGACCAAUGAUUUACAAUAUGGUCAAUUAAAG